UUUGGUGGGAGGCCCUGGACCUAGAAACAAAAAAUGAAAGUGGAGAAAACCAAACAAGAAUCUUUCUUUCUUAAAGUAAACAUCGGACUGACAUCUCCUUUCAAACAUUCAUUGAGGAUCUACUCUGUGAGAAGAAGCAAUACCAUGUUAUCUCAUUCUAGUUCCAGUUCUAGUUGACUUGAUUGUCAAACGACUGCUAAGAAGUAGAGAGGAGGCUUCACCAUGUUUGCCAGGCUAGUCUGGAACUCUUGACCUCAGGUGAUCCACCCACCUCGGCCUCCCAAAGUGCUAGGAUUACAGGCAUGAGCCACCUCGCCCAGCUGUUUCUGUGUCACGUUUUGAUACUUGAAUAAAAAUGACACUUUGGAGCCUUGAAAAAUGGACUUUCCUUCUGAAGUACCCAGGAGAGUAGGAUGGACUUCUUCCUCUCUCCCUACACUAUCCCUUGGAGAAAACCUUUUAUCAAGAAGAUACCAAAUAUCAUCACUGAUAUAAUGUCAGAGGAGGCCACUCUCUAUAGCCCAACCUCCAGGAUUUCAGCACUUCGUGGACAUGGAGG
rnacentral:lncRNA from 1 species